AUUGAACGCUGGAGGCAGGCCUAACACAUGCAAGUCGAACGAGUGGCGGACGGGUGAGUAAUGUCUGGGAAACUGCCUGAUGGGGGGGGAUAACUACUGGAAACGGUAGCUAAUACCGCAUCCCAUCAGAUGUGCCCAGCUGGGAUUUGCUUGUUGGUUGGGUAACGGCUCCCCAAGGCGUCGAUCCCUAGCUGGUCUGUGAGGAUGACCACACACACUGGAACUGUGACACGUCCCAGACUCCUACGGGAGUCAGCAUGGGGGAAUAUUGCACAAUGUGCGCAAGCCUGAUUCAGCCAUGCCGCGUGUAUGAAGAAGGCCUUAGGGUUGUAAAGUACUUUCAGCGGGGGGGCGUUACCCGCAGAAGAAGCACCGACUAACUCCGUGCCAGCAGCCGCGGUAAUUC
rnacentral:rRNA from 1 species